GAUGAACGCUGGCGGCGUGCCUAAUACAUGCAAGUCGAGCGCGAGAUUGAGGAGCUUGCUCCUCAUGAUCGAGCGGCGGACGGGUGAGUAACACGUAGGCAACCUACCCUUGAGAUUGGGAUAACUACCGCAAACGGUAGCUAAUACCGGAUACGACUUUCCUGCCUAAGCAGUUAAGUUAAAAGGCGGAUUUAUCUGCCCAUCACGGACGGGCCUGCGGUGCAUUAGCUAGUUGGGGAGAUAGUGGCUCACCAAGGCGACGAUGCAUAGCCGACCUGAGAGGGUGAUCGGCCACACUGGGACUGAGACACGGCCCAGACUCCUACGGGAGGCAGCAGUAGGGAAUCUUCCGCAAUGGACGCAAGUCUGACGGAGCAACGCCGCGUGAGUGAUGAAGGGUUUCGGCCCGUAAAACUCUGUUGUUAAGGAAGAACACUUGAGGUAGUAACUGGCCUUGAGAUGACGGUACUUAACCAGAAAGCCACGGCUAACUACGUGCCAGCAGCCGCCGUAA
rnacentral:rRNA from 1 species